UCCUCCAGGAAGCCUUCCAGAACUGCACAUCCCAAACGUCCACCCAUCAGCCGCCUCACUCUGACAGUUGUGCAGCCUCACACAGCACAUCACAUUCCCCAGCCAGAAUGGGAUGUGCUGCCCAGGUCUGUGACCCCUAUCUCUGUGUAGCCUCCGUGCCCCUAAGCUCACAAGGGUGGAUCAGAGUGUUUCCUUCUCCAUGCCUCCACAGAGAGGCCAGUGGAGUGGGGCAGGCAAUUUACUUCCACUGGGGCCUGAGCAAGCCCUGUGUGUUGGGCCCUGAUCUUCAGGGGACAUGAGGGUGGCUGAGAGCUGGUCCUAGGUAACAAGUCACGUGUUGGAAGGACCCCCAUACGUGACUCUAAGACAAGAGGGUUGGGAAAGAAGGGAACGCGUUAACUCCAGGUUUUGGGGAGUUGGGUCUGGGGGAAAAGGUGCUGACAAUGACAACUGCUGGUGAAUGAGGCAAGCAGGACAUGGCUUUGAGGAACACAGAACUGCAGCAAUGAAUGAAGGGUAGGGAGGAGGGGCCAGGAGGGGUGAAUCGGAAGCAUGUGUGGAGAACAGACGGAGGCUGAGUGUCCAGGGGAAGAGGCCACGUCUGAAGCCAGGGCACAGUGGCUUUGAAGGCCCAACGGUUUGAAGGUUAUUGCACAGGCCCUGGGCACAGGGGUCAACUCCUGGAUCCCCAGGACAGAGACAGAGGGGCA
rnacentral:lncRNA from 1 species